rnacentral:rRNA from 1 species
AUGCUAGCAAGAUGGGCAGCAUAUCUUGAGAGGUUUAACUAUCUCAUCGUGCAUAAAUCUGGAAUAACUAACAGAGUGGCCGAUGCUUUGAGUCGUCGUGCAUGCCUCUUGACUUCUUUUGAAGCUGAACUUCCGGGCAUGGGUCAAAUAAAGGAGUUGUAUGAGGGUGACGAAGACUUUGGCCAUGUUUGGGUAAAGCACGCAAGGGGGCAACCAUUAGGUGAUGACUAUUUGAUGCAAGAUGGAUAUCUCUUCAAAAAUGAUCGUUUGUGCAUUCCAAGAAGUUCUCUACGUGACAAGCUGGUUAGAGAGCUCCAUUCAAGUGAUCUUAGUGGCCAUGUUGGACGGGACAAGACUAUCGCUAACCUGGAAGCUCGCUACUUUUGGCCAUAA